AACUUCUGAAUGUUGACCUCGGAUCAGGUAGGAAUACCCGCUGAACUUAAGCAUAUCAAUAAGCGGAGGAAAA
rnacentral:rRNA from 2 species